AAAAAACCCUCUGUUGACAGAGAGGGGUGAGGGAUGAACCGUCUGCAGGACGUGGUGACGCUUCUGGGGACAGCAGAGGAAGCCACUUGUUAGAUUUGCAGGGUUUGGGCUGUUCCUGCUCCAGGGCAGGUGAUUUACCCCCAUUCCUGCUCCAGGGCAGGUGAUUUACCCCCAUUCCUGCUCCUCCUGCCCCAGGGCAGGUGUGAUCUCCCCUUACACGCCCUCCUGCACCAGCCUGAGACCCAAAGAACCAGCCACAAGGACCAAGACUUCUGUCCCACUAAGCAAAGACAUAAAUGCCCUGGCAUUUCCCAAUUGCUGUCAUGCCACCAGCAGAUUUCACAUUGAUUCAUGAGCCCCCACUAGGAAAAACAGCUCUGUCCUUGCAAGACACUGCUGACAACAGGAGCUUACACUUGCUUCACUUUUCUUGCUUAAUUCUGGCAAAGGCUAAGCUGGAGCAGAACUCAAUCUGACAGAGUUCGGGCAGGGAAAAUUCCCAGUUCUGUAAGGGAAGUGCCCUCUAGUGUCCGCCAAACCGAGGGAAAAAAACAGGGAGAGGGAAGGGCUGAGGAGAAGGAGGUGUACCCUGUCGAUGGAGCUGCCUUUCCUCUGGGCAUAGGCUCCCCAGAGCAUGAAGACCAGCCCGUGCAGGUUCUUGUUGAGCCAGGACACCACAGCAUCUGUGAACUGCUCCCAGCCCCUCUCCUUGUGGGACGUGGCCUGGUGAGCCCGGACCGUCAGCACCGCGUUGAGCAGGAGCACCCCUGGCAAACAAAGCACAUCCAGAGGGUGAAACGAGGGUUAAUCCAGCCCUGGACUGCUCCUGGAUGGAGCUCUGAGCAACCUGGCAUAGUGGAAGGUGUCCCUUGGAUAAGGCUUAACCUCCUUUCCAACCCAAACCAUUCUGGGAUUCAGACUUCUUUUUUUUUCUGUUGAGGCAAGUUUUCAUUUCAAGGCGCUCAGAAGUGAUUCUCUCUCCUACAGGUGGAUCAUUUCCAACCAUAGGGCUGGUUUUUAGAUAAGAUUCUUUCCUGCUCCACAGGGGGCACAUCACUGAGUGUCUCUGAGCUCACCUUGCUUGGCCCAGCCCGUCAGGUCCCCAUGGCCAGGGUGGGUGAAGCCCUCAAUGUCCUCAGAGAGCUCCUUGUAAAUAUUCUCCAAGCUGCAAACCAAACCAGCAGAAGAUUUUUAAUACAACAAGAGCAAGCAGCACCACUUAUUGCUCUAAGCAGGCAAGAAAGGCAUUGAUUUUAAUCUUAUUAUUUAAGAUAAUAAUUUGCAUUUGCAGAGGCAAGGCAGCAGGGACUCUGUGUCUGCCUGGAAGCUUUAAUGAGACUGGAAAUUAAAAUUUACAUCCAGAGUAUCACCAAAACUGCACAGAAUUAUCCUUCCAGGUGAUGCACAACUUAAAUUUAAGUAGUUGCAAACCAUUUCACAUCUAUUUUUCCAGACCUGAGCACCACAGAACUGCAAAUGAUUAAGGAAUAAAAGGGAAUUUGCAACUUUUCAUACCUGGGGGGAGGUGGAACAGGUUUCUGGACACUGAAACAGAGCCCAUGAGCUUGCUUAGGUCCAUGGUAUGGGUCUUGUCCCAAAAUAACAACCUUUACCUGAAAGCAGACCUUGGUUAGCACUGAAUUGUAAUCAGUAUUAUUUCCCACAGUGAGGAAAAAAAGGCUUAUAAAUGAGCUUUAUCCUAAAAUAGAGACAAAAAAUGCCACAAACCAACCCCUCCAAGAAAUUAAAUCCCAGAUAUCUCAUUGUUAAAGAACACAGAGCCCAGCUAACACUAAGGAUUAAUAUCCCUAUGGCUUUGCUGACAAAAUAAUGAAUAUAACUAAUAUCAUUUGCAGAAGACCAACAUUUUCACAGUCAUAAGAAAACACCUUGUUAUUUUCCACUCCUUUAGUGAUCAAUUAAAAGAACAAGAGAUGUACAAGAUGAAAGAACCAUGAACUCGGUUAAGCUGUUAACACCAGAAAAAAAGAUCAAAAGGAUCAGAGGAAGUUCUGUGGCUUGUGAGGGUAAUAAAAUAAUAAAAUCACAGUUUGUUAUCAGACA